UUUCAACAGUCACUUUAACUAAAAAGUCUUUGCUAUUUGAGAUUUUAUCUUCUUGUCUGUUAAAAAACUGGCACCUUAUUUUGCAUGAAUUGAUUUCUAAUCGCUCAAAUCCAGUGUGUGCAGUGACAAGCUGGUGUGGCUGAAACGGCAGUUGCUCAAGAGCAUCAGAACAGCCUUCACCGUGUGGGUUUACAUGGACAGCACUGUCAGCAGACAGUGAGACGGGCGCUUGUCCACUCGUCUGACACCGUGGGGCCAUAGGAGGCAGCGACUGAGAAGGUCAGUCCCAUUAAAAAUGCCCUUUGGCUCAUCUGGAAGCUGUAUCUCUGGUCAUGCACCAUGCCAGCCACGCCAGCAUUAUCAUGGCACAUGCUUUUAAAUCGUGCAGACGUUGUUCUAGAGUGAGUGUGAACAGCUUUCACACUGGGGCACUGUGCCAGUUCCCAUGCUGGCUUCCCCACAUGCACACAGGUGGCUGGCACGCAGCUCUGCACCUCUUACUGUUGGGAGCUCAGAAGCCUCUCUCUGUGGUGGUUUUUCAUCUCGGGAUAAUUGAACCCAGCUGGGAAAUACCAGGACCAGAGAAUCUCUGCUGCAUAAUAUCACCACCCCGUGGCAACUCACAAAGCAAGAUUUUCACCGAGAAUCGCACAUAGAAAGAAUUUCACAUCUGCUUCUGUAAAGAUUUUCACCGAGAAUCACACAUAGAAAGAAUUGCACAUCUGCUUCUGGAGCACAUUUCCCUCUAAAGAGAGGGGCAGAGCGACUUCACCGUCUGUCCUCAUCUGGUGGUGGAAACCACUUCUAGGUUUGAAGGUGAGUUAUUCAUGCUGGAAUUUCGUGAUCUCUGUGGGGACUGUGGCUUAUUUCACAUUGGAGCUUGAAUAUUUUUCAGGGUUUGCUUUGGCGUGAUUAUACAUAUAGAGAUAUGUCUAGAA
rnacentral:lncRNA from 1 species